ACGACUAAAACUAUAUAACUAUGUACCGGGGGACUUUGGGGAGAAAAAGGAAAAAUAAAAUCUUUAAAAGAGAAUGUAUUUAGGGGCCUGCCUGGUGGCACAGCAGUUAAGCAAGCACAUUCCGCUUCUAUAGCCCGGGGCUGGCUGGUUCGGAUCCCGGGUGCAGACAUGGCACCGCUUGGCACGCCAUGCUGUGGUAGGCAUCCCACAUAUAAAGUAGAGGAAGAUGGGCAUGGAUGUUAGCUCAGAGCCAGCCUUCCUCAGCAAAAAGAGGAGGAUUGGCAGCAGUUAGCUCAGGGCUAAUCAUCCUCAAAAGAAAAAAAAAGAAUGUAUUUGAAUGUGACAAGAGUAGAAAAGGUGCAUAGAUGUUUCAGAUUCCACGUUGCAAUUAACCUUUGAGAAACUGUCACUUGUACAUUUUGUUAUAGUAAAAGAAUGCCCUGGAUGGGGCCUCACCUUGUCCUGUGAGCAGCCCAUGCAAGUCAGGGUACCCCUGGUGCUUAGGGUGCCCACCACGCCCACAUACAUCCCCUCAGGCCUGGACCAUGGUGCAGCGCUGGUACAUGAACCAGUCCCAGGACGACUUGACGUGGUCCCACAGCCUGGAGCCACUGCUGCCCGCUGUGCCUGGAGCAGCUGUGCCAGCUCAGAGUCCUUUACUGGAAGCUGACAAAUAUGAGAAUGAUCCAGAAUUAGAACAGAUCCGAAAAGAGGAACUACUCCUAGAUGGACAUAAGAGCCAUAUGCAAAGAUAAACUGCCAAAUUGUGAAAAAAAGAUGGAGGUGUUUUAUGAGGAAGGAGCAUCUGCACUCGGAUGUAAGAUUUGCUGCAUCCUGGAGGGCAGCGGACACUUUGAUGUAAGAGGACUAGUGGAUCCAGAUUUUCAUGGAGAAAGGAGACAUGAUAACUCUUCUUGCAGGAAUUUAUCACUGCUUCACGGUGGAUGAGAAGAACUACAUGACGCCAUGUGGCUGUUUGUGGGAGGAGCAGUGUGGACCUCGUACAACUGGCCAGCUGACCAUUUCUAGGCUCAAGCACGUGAAAUUUUUGGCAUAGACAACAUAUUGAUGCUUCCUGGGAGCUAACACACCCUUUGUAAAGAUCCCAAACGUGAUAACUGAGCAGAAAAUCAAUCACUUUCUCUUUGCUUUUAUAUCGUAGGCUUAAAGCUAGAUUAUCUUUCUUUUGCAAGAUUAUUUGAUCAGACUUUUUUUUUUUUUUUUUGAGGAAGAUUAGCCCUGAGCUAACUACUGCCAAUCCCCCUCUUUUUGCUGAGGAGGACUGACCCUGAGCUAACAUCCAUGCCCAUCUUCCUCUACUUUAUAUGUGGGACACCUACCACAGCAUGACUCAAAUGAAAGUUUUAUCUCCUGAAAUGUAACUGCUUAGAUGCUCUAUCUGGACAUGAUUCUUAGACUUUGAACCAGCUUAUCAGUCAAUGCCAUGCCUGCCUUAUAAGAAGCUUGUGGUAUAAGAAAUAUAUUGGGUCUUUGUCCCUGGUUCCUGGCACAGAGCUACUAAAACCCUCGGAAUUUCCUAAGUGACAGGAGUGGCCUUUGUUAUUCAUAAGCAGCCCCUUUGAGCAUCCCUGUUCCACUGAGACUGAAGCUCCUGUGCUCAGGACCCUUCUGGACCUCGCUCUGUGUCCUUCCUCAUCUGGCUGUUCGUCUGUGUCCUUUAUAAUAAAUGAGUAAAUGUAAAUCCAGGUUUCCCUGAGUUUUGUGACCUGUUCUAGCGAACUAUGGGCCCCGAUGAGGGGGUCAUGGGAACCCCCAAUUUAUAGCCAGUCAGUCAGAAGUACAAUUGUCCUGGAUUUGCAAUUGGCAUCAGUCUUAUGGGGCUGAGCCCUUAAUUUGUAGGAUCUGAGGCUAACUCCAGGUAGAUGGUGUCAGAAUUGAGUUAAAUUGUAGGACAUUCAUUCCUCCUGAGAAUUGGAGAAUUGCUUGGUGUGGGAAAACUAACUAGAAAGGUGUAAUGGUAGAUGAUAUUACUAACCAGAUAGAAGACACUUUUUUCUCCCAAAAUUAUGCCUCGGAGUGAGGAGUAGUAAGGGGGAAGAGCUCUCCUAUUAGGGCACACUCUCAGUGGCAUAUGCCACAUGCCACUUGCAACUUGCCUGUUCAAAAUAAAGAAACUGCCUUAAUUUAAAUUUGUAAAAAGGCCACCUGUGUCUGGCCCCCCUCCUGCUGCACUGAAACCUCAAAUUCCACAGACUUUGCAUGAGGGCUCUAAUUCUGUACGCUGCGUGUGCUUGUUUUCUCAUCUCUUAUUCUUUUUAAAUUCAUGCUUAACUACUCUGGGAGAGAAGAGCUGUAAACAGUUUUAAUUAAACCAUACUUAUAGAAACCGACUUUCUUAUACUCUAUGCUUUUGGCAUUGCUGUUCUUGAAAAAUUAAAAGGUCUUUGAUAAAUGGGGGGGGGAGAAUAUCCUCAGUAUCUGAAACAGCUGUAAAAAUACUCCUUUCUUUUCCUUUCCCAACUACAUGUCUCUGUGAGGCUGGAUUUUCUUCAUAUACUUCAACCAAAACAAACUUCAGCAGCAAACUGAAUGCAGAAGCGAGCGCGAGAAUCCAGCUACUGCCAGUAAGUCAGACACAAAGAGAUAUGCAAAAACAUAAACAAAGCAACGCUUCUCGCAGGAGGUGAUGCUUUCUCCAGGUUCUAAGGACAGCGCAUCAUGGCCACCCAAUAAAAGGUGCACGAGGUGUCUCUGGAUUUCUUUCCACCAUAUAGGUUACAAGAUGCAGUCAGCUGUCUGCAACCUGGAAGAAGGUUCUCACCAGGGCCAGCCCUGGUGGCCUAGUGGUUAAGUUCAGCGUGUUCUGCUUUGGCAGCCGGGGUUUGGUUCCCCACUGAAGACCUACACCACUUGUCGGUCAGCGGCCAUGCUGUGGCGGCGACUCACAUCGAAAAAGAGGAAGAUUGGCAACAGAUGUUAGCUGAGGGCAAAUCUUCCUCAGGAAAAAAAAAAAAAAGAGGGUUCUCACUAAACACAGAAUCAGUCAGUGCCUUGAUCUUGGAAUUCCCAGCCUCCAGAGCCAUGAGAAAUAAAUGUUUGUUGUUUAAGCUGUU